UACGUAGGGGGCUAGCGUUGUCCGGAAUCAUUGGGCGUAAAGCGCGUGUAGGCGGUCCGGUAAGUCCGCUGUGAAAGUCGAGGGCUCAACCCUCGAAUGCCGGUGGAUACUGUCGGGCUUGAGUACGGGAGAGGCGAGUGGAAUUCCUGGUGUAGCGGUGAAAUGCGCAGAUAUCAGGAGGAACACCAAUAGCGAAGGCAGCUCGCUGGGCCGGUACUGACACUGAGGAGCGAAAGCGUGGGUAGCAAACAGG
rnacentral:rRNA from 1 species